CAAGCACAUGCACCUGCCAAGCACAUGCACCUGCCAAGCACAUGCACCUGCCAAGCACAUGCACCCGCCAAGCACAUGCACCUGCCAAGCACAUGCAAAUGCACCUAUGUAGAUUGAAUGUACUCAGUUAAGAUACCCUUUGAUAAGAGAGUAAAAACAAUUAUGAUAGUCCCCUUUUUUCUCUGCUGUCCAAUGGCCCCAUGGCUCCCUCUGCUGUCGCUCCCAGCGGGGGCAGACAAGAGAGGUACCUAGAGCCACGGGGCCAACAGGAAGGGUUGUCCAGACCUCGGGAUGGACAAGAGGGAUAGCCAGAUCCUUGAGACCAACGAGCAGCGGUUCCGACAGCAGCCUGGAGGGGUGACAGGCCCGAUAGCAGGGCCUACCGGAGCCGUGGGCCAACAGCAGGGGCAGACAAGAGAGGUACCUAGAGCCACGGGGCCAACAGGAAGGGUGGUCCAGGCCUCGGGAUGGACAAGAGGGAUAGCCAGAUCCUUGAGACCAACGAGCAGCGGUUCCGAACGGUAGCCUGGAGGGGUGACAGGCCCGAUAGGAGGGCCUACCGGAGCCGUGGGCCAACAGGUAAAAGUUUUAACUGGAUCUUUAGUGGAUUUCUAGGCAGCUAUUUUCUAACGAUGCAAGCUAUCUUUGCAUUGAAGGUACAUAUGUAACUUCACCCUUGCAUCUUAAGAGGGUAAAUGUACCUUUAUAAAGUAAAUUCACUUGAAGAGAGUAAAUGUACUUUUGUAAAGUAAAUCACCUCUUUAAAGUAAAUGCACCUUGAGAGAGUAAAAGCACAUGCACCUGUCAGUGUCAAGCACAUGCACCUGCCAAGCACAUGCACCUGCCAAGCACAUGCACCUGCCAAGCACGUGCACCUGCCAAGCACGUGCACCUGCCAAGCACAUGCACCUGCCAAGCACAUGCACCUGCCAAGCACAUGCACCUGCAAAGCACAAGCACCCGCCAAGCACAUGCACCUGCAAAGCACAUGCACCUGCCAAGCACAUGCACGUUUGUCCAGCAUACGCACCUUUGUCCAGCACAUGCACCUCUGUCGAGCACAUGCACCUUCGUUAAGCACAUGCACCUUCGUUAAGUAUGCUUCGUAAGAUAGUAAAUGCACCUGUGUAAAUUGAAUGGCCCUAAAAAAGUAAAAAAGCUAAAGAGAGCAAAUGCACCUAUGCAGAUUGAAUGUACUCUGUUACUAAUGUUAGGAUACCAUUUAAUAAGAGAGUAAAAACAAUUAUAAUAGUCCCCUUUUUUCUCUGCUGUCCAAUGGCCCCAUGGCUCCCUCUGCUGUCGCUCCCAGCAGGGGCAGACAGGAGAGGUACCUAGAGCCACGGGGCCAACAGGAAGGGUUGUCCAGGCCUCGGGAUGGACAAGAGGGAUAGCCAGAUCCUUGAGACCAACGGGAGGGGCCAACGAGCAGCGGGACCGACAGGAGGGCCUAUCGGAGCCAAAUGGAUCCAUGGGGUGACAGCUUGGGCCAGGACAAACAGUAUAGGUGGAAACUGUACUAUGUGUUACAGAUAAAUGCCAGUGCUGCUAGCAGACAAGGUACAUGUAUGUACAAGCCAUAGUGUUAAACCACGAGGACCUGAUGCUUGUGAUAUAGUGAUACAUAUAACACUAUAUGAAUGGUAUUCAUAGUGAGCACAUAUACGUUUCGUGUAUGUUGAAGUCUUGAGGUAGUGACUCACUGUUGAUGAUGUACAUAUCUACCAACGAAAUCCUGUCCUACAGGUAUGGUAUGUACUGGUAAGCAGGUCAUAGUAGGUAUGCAUACAAUGUACAGAAGAAAUGUAUCACCAAAGUUUCUUUAUGAUAUGUUACUGACAAAAACUACUUGCUAGAUAUCAGCAGAUGUUAAAAUAGAGGGGGAUAGAGAGUGAUAAAGGGAUAUGUUGGUCCUUGUUUAGUGUCAUUGGGGAAAAGUAAGAGGGUGCUACCUGAAACAUCUGUUUCCAAAAUCUGUACUUGUAUUUGUAACAAUUGUAUAUGUAAUUUACCAAUGACAUAUCAAGACUGUGUUCAGUUGUGUAUUGCUAAAUUAUCAAGAUUCUGUCAGCUUAUCAAAACACUUUCAUUGUUAUAGUUUCUUUUCAAAAUUUCACUGAGAAGUUUUAUAUGCAAACUGGGUCUUUAUGAAUGGUAGCAAAUGCAUUUUUAUGAUAAUGUCAGAUAGCAAGAUAUGUACAAGUUCAGAUAUAGAAGUGUAAAACCUAGAAACAUUUUGUAAAAGAAAAGAUUUUGUGAUUGAUACAGGUAUAACGUUAGCACAAAAACAAUGCUUUUAGCUUGAGUUACGUACAUGUAGUAUGUAUGUAUGCCAUAUACAAAUGAGACCACUUUCAUAUUGUGUGACUGUCCAAAACUUGCAUUUUUAGUGGAUUUACAUCUCUGAGACAUGAAGGAAGAAAGAGAAGUGUAGUAGUGUAGCAAUGCAGUUUGUUUUUGCAUUAUGUAUGUUAUUUUCUUAGUUUCAAGAAAACAAUCAAUUCUAUUUAUUUAUUGCAUUAUUUAUUGUAUUGCGGCUGUAUUUUAUUGAGAAGGUAAAAGACAAAUCAUCAAUUCAUCUGUGAUAAAAUGUAUAUAUCAUACACGAGCCUCAUUGUCUCACUGGUAUCAGCACAGAUGUGCCAUGAAGAUUUUGAGUCUACUCUUUGGGAACAUGCAGGUGCAUGCUAAUGUUGUUUCUGAUAAUGCCCCACGACCCCAUCCCUCCAUGAAAUAUUUAAAGUUUUUGUAGAUUUUAUGCAAAUGCAUUUACAUAAUUUAUGCAUGAUGAAGUUUAUAAUUGAUAGGCUUAAACAUGUCACAAGUAAAACAUUUACAAUGAAUCCCUUUUUUUGCCAUGUUUGCAAUAAUCAUACAAAACAUG